rnacentral:lncRNA from 1 species
AAGGCUCUGUUUAGGAAGUUCCUCAAUAAACCUAACUAUGGGUACGUUUACCCUUAAUUCAAAUACAAAUUGAGAUAAUAAAAUGAAACUUACUUUGAAAAAGUAGAAUACAAGAGAAAUGUAGCAAACCAACCCUACAAACCCUAAGUUUGAUGUUGAUUCUAACACUUUCUCUUCCCUUGAUCAAAGCUUAAUCAAGUAACCCAACAAUGCCAAUUUGAUUCACUGUCUCACGAUACUCCUUUGCAAGAAACUUCCGUUCUUCA